UUUUUAUUAAAAUUUUCGAUGCACAUAUAAUCAAGGAUCAUUGGACUGAUGAAGACAUAAAUUUAAUACCAUCCUCGAGUAAAACUCUCAAACUUAAAGUUGGCAGUUUCUAAGAUGGAAAUUUAACGCAUUUGUUUUUGGAAAACAAGAAAAUAUAUGAUUCAAAAGUAAUAUUUGACGUUUCAGAGGACAAAUCAUUAUUAUUGUGAUACUGCAUGCAAAAUUUGUUGGGCAAAUUCCAAAGUUUUGUAAAAAAAAAAUAAAAAAAAAAAAAUAAAUUAAAACAUCAUUUAAAGGGAAACCGGUACUACAAUAUAUUACAUUUCCCCAACAUUAGGUUGGCCUUUUGUGUACCCAAGGCAGAUGAAGGAAGUCAACUUAGAAACGCCGUGAUUGGAUGCAAGAGUACAAUAUAUUUUUUUUACUGAUCUAUGAAUAUUAAACUGCAGUGUGUAUAUUUACAAUAAAAAUUUAAAAACCCAUUGAAGAUUUUCUAGAGAAUAUUCGAAAAGACUUCCAAAAUUUCAUAAAUUUGGUGUAAAAUGACGGCGGG
rnacentral:lncRNA from 1 species